UACGGAGGAUCCAAGCGUUAUCCGGAUUCAUUGGGUUUAAAGGGUGCGUAGGCGGAAUGAUAAGUCAGUGGUGAAAUCCUUCAGCUUAACUGGAGAACUGCCAUUGAUACUGUCAAUCCUUGAGUACAUUUGAUGUGGGCGGAAUGUGUUCAUGUAGCGGUGAAAUGCUUAGAUAUGAACACAGAACACCGAUUGCGAAGGCAGCUCA
rnacentral:rRNA from 1 species